AGGCUUAACACAUGCAAGUCGAGCGCCCCGCAAGGGGAGCGGCAGACGGGUGAGUAACGCGUGGGAAUCUACCCUUUACUACGGAAUAACGCAGGGAAACUUGUGCUAAUACCGUAUGUGUCCUUCGGGAGAAAGAUUUAUCGGUAAAGGAUGAGCCCGCGUUGGAUUAGCUAGUUGGUGGGGUAAAGGCCUACCAAGGCGACGAUCCAUAGCUGGUCUGAGAGGA
rnacentral:rRNA from 1 species